CGCCGAUCGAGUCCCUCCCCAUCUCCUACAACCGGCCGCCCUGCUCGUUCUCCCUAGCUGCGAUGUGGAGCUCGCCCUGGACGAUCGUCCUUGCCCCUCCUCUCUGAUCUGCGUGCAGGGGUUUCCCUCCCAUGGCGCCUGGUCUUCUUCCCUUGACUCCAUGCCGAGCGCCCCAGUCGAGCUCGUCCUGGCUCCAGCUUCUUCCUUGGACGGCGGAGCCCUCCCAUUCCUGCAGCAGGCCAGCGUCCCUCUCUCCAUCAUCUUCUCUGCUUGGUUCCUGGCGAGCUCCCCCUGCUCUUCUGCUCGCCCUGGCCCUGUGCCAUUUUUCCAUUCCUGCGGCAAGCACCAGUCCCUCCCCACGCCAACAUCCCUUUCCUACGGACGCUGCCCCUCUCUGGUUUCUGGUGGCCGGCCACCUCUGCUGCUCCCAUGGUGAUCUAUAAAUCCCUCUGUUGUUUUACUAGUCUGGUUAAUACCCUGCUGAUGUGAAGUUUUAUGUGUGUUGAUGUGUACGAUAUGGAGUAAAAUCUCUGGAGAAUUAGGUGGAGGAGAAGGUUAAGUUCAACGCUCCUUAGGUGUUCUAUGAAGUGCUUGAACUGAAGUUCGUUGUCGUUCUGUUCACCGCGGUUCGUUAAUUGAUCACGUGAUGCGGACGACAAGAGCCGAGUUGAUCCCAAAAUGAUGCUGGUGAACGAACCUGAAGCUUGGAUGAUCUGGUCAAGUACCAGGACGAGAGAUGCUCCCCAAGCGGACAUCAUCUAACAACACUGACUUAGUGUUAUCUCAGACAAGCCCCGGUGUAUUUGCCACCUCCUUCUGUUUUAAAAACUUUUAUCACUUACCUGCUGUAUUAGGUGAUAGGAGUUGUGUGAAUAAACAAUUGAUGCAUUAUCAUUCCUUGGAAUUUGAUUAUCCUCCUUGCUA